rnacentral:tRNA from 1 species
AUAUUGGUAGAUCAGUGGUAGAAUUCUUGCCUUCCAUGCUAGAGGCCUGGUUCGAUUCUCAGCCAGUACA